GAAAUGCGAUAAUUAAUGUGAAUUGCAGAAUUCAGUGAAUCAUCGAGUCUUUGAACGCACAUUGCGCCCCCUGGUAUUCCGGGGGGCAUACCUGUCCGAGCGUCAUUGCUGCCCUCAAGCACGGCUUGUGUGUUGGGCUUCCGUCCCUGGCAACGGGGACGGGCCCAAAAGGCAGUGGCGGCACCAUGUCUGGUCCUCGAGCGUAUGGGGCUUUGUCACCCGCUCCCGUAGGUCCAGCUGGCAGCUAGCCUCGCAACCAAUCUUUUUAACCAGGUUGACCUCGGAUCAGGUAGGGAUACCCGCUGAACUUAAGC
rnacentral:misc_RNA from 1 species